UAAACGGAAUUGAAAACCUUUUUUUUUUUUUUUUAUUGUACUAAGAAUUCAAUCAAAAUUUGCAAAUUUUAUUUAAUUUUGAACGAAUUGGGAGCGGAUGAAGCUGGUAUUGCAUCCGCAUUCGGUUUUCUCUUUGGGAGUGUCGUAGGAGAGGUUAUAUUUACUUAUAAAGAUCUUUUCUAUUUAUUUCCAAUUGUUAACUUUGUUUAGUUUCUCGUGGAUUUUAAUUUUGAUUUUCAAAUGAUAACGUAGAAUGUUAUCCCCCAUUUUUUUUACAAUCAUAUGAUUACCUUUGAGUUGAAUCUUUUCUCUUUAAUUUUCAUAAUCAAUCCAAGCUUGAGGAUGACAUUAUUAUUGUACUACUUCAUUUAAUUGUGUAAAUUUUGUGGCCUUUUCAAGUUUUAACAAACAAUGACCUUCUUUUGCACAUAGUGCCCCAAUUUAACUGUAAUAAUCUUGUUUAAACAUAUAGUGAUCACAAUUACAGUACAAUCAUCAUUUUAAUAAUGUCACUAUAAGAAAAUUCAGUUUACUUUCAAUUCAAAAGGGUGUUUAUUUGCUGAAGGGUCACUUCGAAAGAAAGAAGGUCACUAUAGGAAGAAUAAGUGUUAUUUUGAUUCAAAAGAGUGUAUAUAUAUUUUAAGGGUCGCUAUGAAAAGAAUAAGGUGUUUAUCUUGUAUAAGGGUUAUAUGUAAAUUGGUCACUAUAGAAGAAUAAUGUUACUAUAUGCAUCUAAUUAAAAAGGGUGUUAAUAUCUCGUUGAAUCAAUAGCCUAUGUAGAAAUUGAACCUACAUCUAGGGCUGUGCAAAACUAUCCGAAAAACCAAAAACCCGAAAAUCCGAUCCGAAACCGAUCCGAUUAUUAGGGUACCCGAACCGAUAAUAAUUUCGGUUUGGGUACCUGAUCCGAAUCUUUGUUAACGGGUCAGUUAACCGAUACCCGUUAACAAAGUUUCGGGUACCCAAAUUACCCGAAAAGACUAAAAAUCAGUUUUCAUUUUCUUUUAAAAAGCGCUGAAAUGUUAUACCUUAGCCCUUAGGUCGCAAAUAAUGUUAUACCCUGAUUCUCUUUUACUAAUGAAAUAACCUAAUUCCUUUUUACAGCCGCUCAUCCUCUCUCAGGCUCUCACUCCCUUUCUCUCUCUUCUCAUUCUACAGAUCUGAGAUACCCAUCAUCUCCUCUGUGAGUCUUUGAUCUCAUACUACUAUUCUCCAUCAUAACCUCAACACUUAAAAUAUUACAAUCUCAAACACUCACUACUCACCGUCGUUCACCACUUCGUGGGAGUUUUCAAGCAACAUUAUAUAUGAUGAGGGAAGAUACAAGGAGACAAUGAUGUGUUUAAGAGAUAAAGAUGGUCCUUCAUAUUACGCAACGAAGCAAGAAGAAUGAGACUCAAUCAAGGCGGCGAGUGGAGUGACACCAUCAAAGGGUUAAGAGAUACUCCAUAGAAGGAUUAGGCUGUUUGUAGUUUCGUACCUAUGGAAGGACCGAUUGUUAUUUAUAAUUAUUUAAACUUUUAUAUUUUUAUUGUAAAAAAAUGCUACAUGUUAAAAAUUGUGAAUAAAAAUAUAAAUUUAAACAAAA